rnacentral:rRNA from 1 species
AUUGAACGCUGGCGGCAUGCCUUACACAUGCAAGUCGAACGGCAGCAUGGAAGAGCUUGCUCUUCUGAUGGCGAGUGGCGAACGGGUGAGCAAAGCAUCGGAACGUACCGUGUAGUGGGGGAUAACGCAGCGAAAGUUACGCAAAUACCGCAUACGCACUGAGGUGGAAAGCAGGGGAUCGCAAGACCUUGCGCUAUACGAGCGGCCGAUGUCAGAUUAGCUAGUUGGUAGGGUAAAGGCCUACCAAGGAGACGAUCUGUAGCGGGUCUGGGAGGAUGAUCCGCCACACUGGGACUGAGACACGGCCCAGACUCCUACGGGAGGCAGCAGUGGGGAAUUUUGGACAAUGGGCGAAAGCCUGAUCCAGCCAUGCCGCGUGAGUGAAGAAGGCCUUCGGGUUGUAAAGCUCUUUCGGCUGGGAAGAAAUCGCACAGGCUAAUACUCUGUGUGGAUGACGGUACCAGCACAAGAAGCACCGGCUAACUACGUGCCAGCCGCCGCAGUAA